GAUGAACGCUGGCGGCGUGCUUAACACAUGCAAGUCGAACGAAGCACUUUAUUUGAUUUCCUUCGGGACUGAUUAUUUUGUGACUGAGUGGCGGACGGGUGAGUAACGCGUGGGUAACCUGCCUUGUACAGGGGGAUAACAGUUGGAAACGGCUGCUAAUACCGCAUAAGCGCUCGGCAUCGCAUGAUGCAGUGUGAAAAACUCCGGUGGUAUAAGAUGGACCCGCGUUGGAUUAGCUAGUUGGUGAGGUAACGGCCCACCAAGGCGACGAUCCAUAGCCGACCUGAGAGGGUGACCGGCCACAUUGGGACUGAGACACGGCCCAAACUCCUACGGGAGGCAGCAGUGGGGAAUAUUGCACAAUGGGCGAAAGCCUGAUGCAGCGACGCCGCGUGAGCGAAGAAGUAUUUCGGUAUGUAAAGCUCUAUCAGCAGGGAAGAUAAUGACGGUACCUGACUAAGAAGCACCGGCUAAAUACGUG
rnacentral:rRNA from 1 species